AUCCUGCCGGACCCGACUGCUAUCAGAGUGGGACUAAGCCAUGCGAGUCGACACAGCAAUGUGUGGCAUACGGCUCAGUAACACGUAGUCAACAUGCCCAGGGGACGUGGAUAACCUCGGGAAACUGAGGAUAAACCGCGAUAGGUCACUACUUCUGGAAUGGGUAAUGACCCAAACCUAUAUGGCCCCUGGAUUGGACUGCGGCCGAUCAGGCUGUUGGUGAGGUAAUGGCCCACCAAACCUGUAACCGGUACGGGCUCUGAGAGGAGGAGCCCGGAGAUGGGCACUGAGACAAGGGCCCAGGCCCUAUGGGGCGCAGCAGGCGCGAAACCUCUGCAAUAGGCGAAAGCUUGACAGGGUUACUCUGAGUGAUUUCCGUUAAGGAGAUCUUUUGGCACCUCUAAAAAUGGUGCAGAAUAAGGGGUGGGCAAGUCUGGUGUCAGCCGCCGCGGUAAUACCAGCACCCCGAGUGGUCGGGACGUUUAUUGGGCCUAAAGCAUCCGUAGCCGGUUCUACAAGUCUUCCGUUAAAUCCACCUGCUCAACAGAUGGGCUGCGGAAGAUACUAUGGAGCUAGGAGGCGGGAGAGGCAAGCGGUACUCGAUGGGUAGGGGUAAAAUCCGUUGAUCCAUUGAAGACCACCAGUGGCGA
rnacentral:rRNA from 1 species